rnacentral:lncRNA from 1 species
UAGUUUAUUCUCAGUAGAGAUAAGAAAUUAUAAAUUCAUGUGCAAAUAUAUAUUCAAAAUUUAUAAACCUUUUAUGAAUAUGAUAAUUAUUUAGAUCUUUAUAAAAAUAUAGUAAAAACUUUUAAAAAUUUUAAGAAUAAAUGUAGAAGAGAUGGUUAACAAAAUCAUUUAGUUAUACAAAAUUAAUGAGGACUUAUUUGAAAAAAUAAGUAAAUAUGUGAUUCAAAACAAUAUUUUUUGUAAAAAGCUAUUACACCCAUACCUCGUUUUAGGUUAAAAUUAUUUUCAUCCAUUAGAUUAAGAAAUAUAAAAAUCUAACCACACAUAUGCAUUGGCUGUUUGUUACAUCUAAUGUAACAUAAGCUUUGCCUCAACUUUAAUAGAUUAUGGUAAGUUCUGACAGACAUUAGGGUGGACUUAGGUCUGGAUGACUUCUUUUGAUGUAUUUAAUUUGUGUUAUACUAUGUAUUGUAAUAUUAAAAAAAAUAAAUAAAUGCCAAAACUGGGGAGGGUAUGCGCACUCAAAAGAGAUAGGUGAAGGGUGCUAAAUUCGAGAAGCAUGGUUUUGUUUUUGUGUCUUGUGGUCCAUACAGCUAUAAAUGACCAUUAGGCCCAAUAGUCCCACACAAUACAAUGAUCAAUUACAAAACCCCAAAAUGUGGCAAAAGCUUUGGGCCCCACUCAGUCUCUCUUUUGGCGUUUGCUUUGAAUGUGGUCCCCACAUCGAAUGUCGCCUGCUUUCCGGCAAGCGACCGGUUGCUUUCCCCGUGGAUUACCGGCUAUAGAAGGUUAUUGAGCCCAACGGGCCCAGCCACAGUCCAGCCCAUCAUGAGUGGUUGCUGUCAGGUAAAUGGGUGGCAGUAGGUGGGUGAGGGGACAAAUCAACUAUGUCUCUUUUAAGGGCUUUGCUAAAAUCACCAAGAGUGUACCAGAUUGAAGUUCCCUCAAUUAUUGGGAAUUGACACGUUUUCCGCAUAAUCCUUUUGGGACAACUGUAACAGACCACGCACGAGUCACGAGUCACCGACCCGAUACGAAUUUUGCCCCCAUUCAUUUCAUAUUAGAUUUGUAAAUUUGUAAUUAAUGGCCGUUUGGAAUUGCUUUCAAAUCUCUUAAAAGUAAUUCUUAAAAAUUAA